GGACCGGGGCCCGCACAAGCGGAGGAACAUUGUGGUUUAAUUCGAUGAUACGCGAGGAACCCUUUACCUGGGCUUAAAUGUAGAGUGCAUGAUGUGGAACAUGUCUUCCUUCGGGGCUCUCUGCAAGGUGCUGCAUGGUUGUCGUCAGCUCGUGCCGUGAGGUGUCGGGUUAAGUCCCAUAACGAGCGCAACCCUUAUCGUUAGUUGCCAGCGGGUAAUGCUGGGAACUCUAACGAAACUGCCGGUGUAAACCGAGAGGAAGGUGGGAUGACGUCAAAUCAGCACGGCCCUUAUGUCCAGGGCUACACACGUGUUACAAUGGCCGGUACAGAGGGCAGCUACCUGGAGACAGGAUGCGAAUCUCGAAAGCCGGUCUCAGUUCGGAUCGGAGUCUGCAACUCGACUCCGUGAAGCUGGAUUCGCUAGUAAUCGCGCAUCAGCCAUGGCGCGGUCGAAUACGUUCCCGGGCCUU
rnacentral:rRNA from 1 species